GUUAGUAGGUCCUGUCUGCCGUUUUUCCCCUGAUUCCUGUGUGUUUUUGGCCUUUUGACUAUUAAAGUCUUUUUCCUGCCUCCUCCACGCAUCCCUUGACAGUUCACUGUCCAUAGGCCCUCCGGAAACUCAUUUUCCCUUCAGCGAUGAUUGAUUCCCCCCACGAUCCAAGUUGAUGGCAAGUCUCCUGGGAUCCACUGGGGUGUUAGACGUAUUAACACAGAGACCUACAGCGACGGAGCAGUGCCCUACCCAAACCCAAUUACCACGGAAGUAGGUGCGAUCCCGGUGAUUGGGUUCCACCUGCGCCAAUCAAACAACAGGGCGGGGCUCGGAAAUUAAAAGGAGGGAGACGAGGCUGAUGCUGAUCUGCGUGAAUGAAUGUGGACGUUGUGUUGUGAAGGUUUGUGGAGGACCAGGUGAGUCUCAGGUACUCUAUACGUUGCUAUUGAGAUAUCUGACAAGGAAAGUAAAUUGUGUAAA
ensembl:lncRNA